CGUUGUGUGGUGUUGAAAGUGACUUGAAUAGUAAUAAAAUACAGAUUUGUGUUUAUUGUCGAUGGUUUUCAUUGUAAUAUAGCGUGGCAGGUGUGACACAGAUUACAGUUGAAGUGACGCUUAAAAUGUCAGUUGAGAAUUUGUGUAACUAUGAAUCGUGUUUGCGCAGUCCCAUACAGCAUUAAAUACUCUAUGUCUUUAUUUGUGGUGUAGAAGAUACCAGUCUUACAGUGUGCAUUAUGAUAAAACAAUAUGAAACAUUUUAUUAUCAAGGGUUAUUUCUGCUGGUACACAUUGAAUCACGGAUUAGAAUACGAAGUUGCUCACAGAACAUUCUUGAACAGUUGGCACAAUGAAGACACGGAGAGGACUAAUAACUUUCAGCACUGGAUGGACAUGAUGGAAUUUUGUUCCAUUGAUGUGUACUUUUUACGGAAGGAAAGAUAAAGGAGAACAGCGAUCAUAAUAGUGUGACAAAGGUAUGAAAACAGCUGAGAGCUACUGGAGUACUCUGCGUGGUGGUGCGACUGCUGUAGCAGGUACAGUGUCACCAUCUACUGGUCGCUGUAAGAACAAAGAAUAAAGACCAGUUUCACCGAAAGGUAGGGAAGCGAGAACAUUUUGUUUUACCACAGAACCAUGACUAGGUAGCCAACCGUCUCAUAUACAAAUGGAGAAAUCUGCAGAAUUUGUGGCAAUCUACCUCAGAUUAUUGCUGCUAAUGCCCGGGAAACUGAAGAGGGCCCUAAAUACAUCGAAAUUCAGGCUGAGACAGAUUUUAAAGCAUUUAAAAAUUACUUAAUGUGUACUUGAUUUGAGAAUUGGUCCCUGUGUAUGGCCUUCCUUUUUGGUCCCUGUACUCCAAGA